rnacentral:rRNA from 1 species
GACGAACGCUGGCGGCGUGCUUAACACAUGCAAGUCGAACGGAAAGGCCCUGCUUUUGUGGGGUUCUCGAUUGGCGAACGGGUGAGUAACACGUGUGUAACCUGCCCUUGACUUUGGGAUAACUUCAGGAAACUGGGGCUAAUACCGGAUAGGAGAUCCUGCUGCAUGGGGGGGGUUGGAAAGUGUCGGCUGUUGUGUAUGGAAUCGCGGCUUAUCAGCUUGUUGGUGGGGUAGGUGCUUACCAAGGCUGUGACGGGUAGCCGGCCUGGGAGGGUGGACGGCGACCUUGGGACUGAGGUAGGCAGCAGACUGGUACGUUCGGCAGCAGUGGGGAAUAUUGCACAAUGGGCGGAAGCCUGAUGCAGCAACGUCGCGUGCGGGAUGCCGGCCUUCGGGUUGUAAACCGCUUUCGCCGGUGACGAAGCGUGAGUGACGGUAAUGGGUAAAGAAGCACCGGCUAACUACGUG